UGUUCUGGAUGGAUCUAUUAUGUGGAAGCCAGCUUCACUCAGUUUUCUGGACUCAUGUCCCUGUCUCCAACCCAGUGGACUUCAGGAAGGACAACCUACCUGGCCUGGUGGGGCUGGCAGGAGGGUGGAGGUUUCUCGAGGAGCUGGAAGCCUCAGGGAGCCCCUCUCAGGAGGAGGAAAGAGCUUCCAGAAGGUGGACGCAGCACAGUGAAAGAGGCCCGCUCCACUUGCCUGGGAACCUGGGCAGGAGGCACAGAGGAAGCCAAGGCCUGGAGCUGCAGGACCACAGCACUUCUCCCUGUCCUGGCAGCCCAGGAAUGGCCUGGUGCCCCCACCUGCUGCAGCAGGAGUCCCAAGAAGUGCUGGCCAAGGGCGGUUGCUGGGGUGGUCCUCAUGGACAGUGAGGUGUGCAAGGGUGCACUGAGGGUGGGGGAGGGAAUUACCUGGGCUCCAGGCCGUCCUUACUGAGCAUCUUUGAGCUGCCUCCCUGUGGGAGCAGAAAAGGCCAGACCCUGCUGAGUUAGAGGCCCCUGGGAUCCACUCUGUCCACACAGCAGGAAGGCUUCUGGGCACGGGCAGCAGAGAAGUGCCAUGGUUGAGUUGAGCCUUGCAGCUCUUCCAGCUGGGGACUGGCGCUUGCUGAAACCCAGGAGCUGAGCAGUGAGGAGGCUGUCCGCCUUGCCUGGCUCACUGGGGCCAGGAAAGCCUGUCUUUGGUUAGGCUCAUGCACUUCCGCAGGGAAAGAAACAAAAAGAAUGUGUCAUUGUCAUGAUAUUUGAAAAGGGGAGGAGGCCGAAGCUGUUCACAUUUACCCAGUAUUGGAAAAUAUUUGACCCCCUUGGCUGAAUUCUUUUGCAGAACUACUGUAUGUCUGUUCACUACCUUUUCAGGUUUAUUGUUGUGAUUUUUGCAUGAAUUAAAAUGUUUUAAGUUCUUUGCAGACAAGGUCUAGAUACGAAGUCAGAGAUGGGAUUGAAUGGGGAGGGAUUCUUUGUGUUCUUAUGUUUGGCUCUGACUUUCAGCUGUGCUGGGACCACUGGCAGAUCACAUCACCUGUCUGCCCCAGUUUCCCCAUCUGUCAAAUGGGAGACUAAUACUUGCCUACCUACCUCACAGAGGUGUUGUGAGGAUUCAUUCGUGAUUUUUUUUUUUUUUUUUGUACAGAGCUUUUAAGCAUUAAAAAAACAGCUAAAUGUGAGU